GCUCCAGUGUGUUUGCUAUUCUUAGCCAUGAAAUGAGUUAGCUGAUGUUCAUAAAAGCUGGAAGUCACCUUGUCUCCUGUUAAGUGAUCAGAAGCUGCUGCAGAUUGGUGUGUUAUAUGAGCCUCUGAGAGUCAAGUACCAGUACCAAAGAUACAAAAGGUACCUUACCCUGAAUGCUGUCCUCUCCUGUGGAUCUUAUCUCCUUUUUGUAAAGUUCAGGACCAUCACUACUUGUCCUCUUGACUGUGAGUAGUGUGUCAAUGGUAGGUCUAGGCAGACAAGGAGAACUCAGGAUGUUACUCAUCCCAUUUACCAACAAGUGAUCACCAACUAGUGAUACAUCUUCACAACACCCAUGUCCUUUACACCAAAAAUGUAAAGUCUCAUCAUCAUCUACUUUCCUGCAGCCACAAGUACAAAGCUUGCACAGGAACUAAAUAAGAACUACUACCACCUACAACUUCACUAAAAUGAAAAGUACAAUAACAAAUUAUAUCUCUAUGAGUAAAACUCUCAAGGCCACUGUACUCACCUAUGCCUCCACAUCUAGCAAACACAACAGUUAACCAACCAUUACAGUUACCAGGUGGAGUAGCACAAGCCUGAGUUACAGCAAAAUCAAACCUAGAACCUAAAAACACACACAGUCCACCAAUAACAGCAUGCGAAGCAAUGCCUUUAACUAAAUUUACUCUUCACUGUGAUAACAUCUCAUAGAGGUGUAAUUUGUUAUUGUACUUUUCAUUUUAGUGAAGUUGUAGGAGGUAGUAGUUCUUAUUUGGUUCCUGUGCAAGCUUUGUAUAUACAUACUCGUGGUUGCAGGAAAGUAGAUGAUGAUGAGCCUGUGUAUUUUUGAUGUAAAGGACAUGGUUGUUGUGAAGAUGUAUCUCUAUUUUGUGACUUAAUUCUGUAUUAUCAUAAAUAAAGUGUUGACCUCAAAUAAAAAGAUUACACAUUGAUCUUACCAAAAGCCGAGAAGUGAUUCUUCUUCAUGUUUUAGCUCUCUGGGGCACUUUGGAAUAUUCUCUUGGGCACUCUGGGAAGCUAUCUGGGUCACCUGCCUCGCCUCUGCAUCUCUGGUGUUUCUGUGAAUGUGUGUGUCUCUGUGGGCCGUAACUCAUUAUCAUAGAAAGUAAAUACAAACUAUUACAUCAUAUUAUUCCAGUAUUGGUGAAAUAAAAUUGGACAGCACAACAGUUGAAGAUAAGGUGAAGCAGGAUGUUUUCAUUAUGAAGAAUCAAGAAAGCUGUCUUCAUGAUCGUCUUGAAAAUAUAUUAUUUUCUUAGGCUAUGACCAUAAAUUGAUACAUAUUUUUAUGUUAUUGUGUUAUGGU